rnacentral:tRNA from 1 species
UGCGGUAGUGGUGGAAUGGCAGACACGCUAUCUUGAGGGGGUAGGUGGGCGUACGCCCGUGGAGGUUCGAGUCCUCUCUACCGCAUCC